rnacentral:lncRNA from 1 species
UGUCCUCUUUGUUUCAAAGUUAAACUAUGAGUAAGUUCCUCUCAAAGUUAGUUUGGCCUACACCCAAGAAUGAACAAGGACAGGUUAGACUCUAAUCUAGAAAUCUAGAAGCAAGAUGGAGUUGGUUAGGGCAGAUUUUUUUUUUUUUUUGAGACAUAGUUUCGCUCUGUCAUCCAGGCUGGAGUGCAGCGGCGCGAACUCUGGCUCACUGCAAGCCCCGCCUCCCAGGUUCGCGCCAUUUUCCUGCCUCAGCCUCCUGAGUAGCUGGGUCUACAGGCGCCCGCCAUCACGCCCGGCUAAUUUUUUGUGCUUUUAAUAGAGAUGGGGUUUCACCGUGUUAGCCAGGAUGGUCUUGAUCUCCUGACCUCAUGAUCCGCCCUCCUCGGCCUCCCAAAGUGCUGGGAUUACAGGUGUGAGUCACCGCGCUCGGCCAGGGCAAAUCUCUUUAACUAUUAUAAUUUUCUCAGUUAUAAUCUUGCCAUGGUGGUUUCAAAAGGUGACUGGAAGAAAGCGGAAGGAAUGCUUGCCUCAUCUUGCAGACAUCAGGUGCAUUCCUGAGAAGCUACAGGUGCACAACCUUAGUCAGGCUCUGGGGAUACAGAAGUAACAAGAAGACCAGACCCUUGUUCCAAUGGAGGAGACAUCCUGUUGGAAGUACCCCAAAGGAAUAUCUAUCUACCCAUCUGUCCUGCCACAAAACAGAUCAUUCUCAACAGCAGUGGAAAUAGAAUCAGCUCCAUUGCCUGGGAAUCAUUCUUGUCAGGAGUGCUUUCGUUCUAACCUAGGUAAAGAUCUGCAGUACAAGUAUUAUCAUGUCAUUUCACUAAUGGACAAGUACAAGUUUGG